UUGGUGAAGGAAGUACAGCAGCAAAUAUAGUAAAAUUGCAACAAUACAUAGAAGAUUAGCAUGACCCAUGCAAAAGGAUUACAUGCAAAAUCAGGAAUAUAGUAAAAUAUCA